rnacentral:tRNA from 3 species
GCUCCCUUCGUCUAGAGGCCCAGGACAUAGCCCUCUCAAGGCUAGUACACCGGUUCGAAUCCGGUAGGGAGCGCCA